UUGGUCCCUUAUACUCUAUAAGGUCUAAGAUGUUGAAGGUCGAGCUAAUACCAAAAUCAAGGGGUAAGUCAACCACAUAAGCGUUAGGUUCAAUUUUCUUUAAUAUUCUAAAUGGACCUGCACUGCGGGCAUGCAAUUUUUUCAUAGUUCUCGGAGGAAACCUUUCAGGUUUUAGUCUAAUCAUUACAUAGUCUCCUUCAAUGAAUUCCUUAGCUCGUUUGUGACGAUUAGCUUCUUGCGCAUAAGCUUUGUUACUCAUGUCAAUUUUCUUACUGAUUUCAUUAUGUAAAUCCCUGACAUGUUGUGCAUAUGAUUCUGCUGUCUCUGAGACUCGUGCAUGUGAGGGUAAUG
rnacentral:lncRNA from 1 species